AAAGUGGAGCAAUCCAUGAGUAGAGUGGCAAACGGGUGAGUAACGCGUGGGCGACCUACCUCUGAGUGGGGGAUAACCUUCCGAAAGGAGGGCUAAUACCGCAUGACAUCCCGUGUUUGGAUACACGGACAUCAAAGCCGGGGAUCGCAAGACCUGGCGCUUGGAGAGGGGCCCGCGUCCGAUUAGCUAGUUGGCGAGGUAAUGGCUCACCAAGGCUCCGAUCGGUAUCCGGCCUGAGAGGGCAGACGGACACACUGGAACUGAGACACGGUCCAGACUCCUACGGGAGGCAGCAGUGGGGAAUUGUUCGCAAUGGGCGCAAGCCUGACGACGCAACGCCGCGUGGAGGAUGAAGACUUUCGGGUCGUAAACUCCUUUCGACCGAGAUGAAUGUCCGCCGGCCUAACAUGCCGGCGGGGUGACAGUAUCGAGGGAAGAAGCCCCGGCUAACUCCGUGCCAGCAGCCGCGGUAAUACGGGGGGGGCAAGCGUUGUUCGGAAUUACUGGGCGUAAAGGGUUUGUAGGUGGCUUGCUAAGUCAGACGUGAAAUCCCUCAGCUUAACUGGGGAACUGCGUCUGAGACUGGCGAGCUUGAGUGCAGGAGAGGAAUGCGGAAUUCCAGGUGUAGCGGUGAAAUGCGUAGAUAUCUGGAGGAACACCGGUGGCGAAGGCGGCGUUCUGGACUGCAACUGACACUGUAAAACGAAAGCCAGGGGAGCAAACGGGAUUAGAUACCCCGGUAGUCCUGGCCCUAAACGAUGAAUGCUUGGUGUGGCGGGUAUCGAUCCCUGCCGUGCC
rnacentral:rRNA from 1 species